UACGAGGGGGGCAAGCGUUGUUCGGAAUUAUUGGGCGUAAAGGGUGCGUAGGCGGUUUGGUAAGUCUUAUGUGAAAUCUACAGGCUCAACUUGUAGUCUGCAUGAGAAACUGCCGGGCUUGAGUAUGGGAGAGGUGCGUGGAAUUCCCGGUGUAGCGGUGAAAUGCGUAGGUAUCGGGAGGAACACCUGUGGCGAAAGCGGCGCACUGGACCACAACUGACGCUGAGGCGCGAAAGCUAGGGGAGCAAACAGG
rnacentral:rRNA from 1 species